rnacentral:misc_RNA from 1 species
AUCCAAAAUCAUAAGCCCAACCUUAGUGACAUAGCUUCGACUAUGCCAAUUGCGACUAAUACCAUCCCACUUUUCAGGAGUGGAGAUUAUGAUGUCUGCUGACAAGAGAGCCAUUAGAUCCGGGGUGUAGUCACCAGUCAUUUCAACCAUCUUCUUUCCAAGUUGGGAAACAAGACGUUUUCUCCAGUCCGUCAUUCUCUCCCGAACAAUAGCCUUUAAAGGUGCUAUAUAGAUAACCUUCAUAUCGGGCUGUGUAUUGAAUAAAUGGAGCAUAGCAAGCUCAGCUGAUAUUGUCUUCCCACUUCCAGUCGGAGCUCCUAAAAGGAUAUUUCUGUCCGUGUGAUACAGCACAUGAAAAGCCUGUGUUUGUAUAGGAUUGAAGUGUGAAAAUUUAUACAAGGCCUCAAAAGUUCCAUUGCCGAGUGCAGUCACAGGAAGGGGUUUCAAAUCUA